rnacentral:rRNA from 1 species
UACGUAGGGUGCAAGCGUUUGUCCGGAAUUAUUGGGCGUAAGGAGCUCGUAGGCGGUCUGUCACGUCGGCUGUGAAAUCCCGAGGCUCAACCUCGGGUCUGCAGUCGAUACGGGCAAACUAGAGUAUUGCAGGGGAGACUGGAAUUCCUGGUGUAGCGGUGAAAUGCGCAGAUAUCAGGAGGAACACCGGUGGCGAAGGCGGGUCUCUGGGCCGAUACUGACGCUGAGGAGCGAAAGCGUGGGGAGCGAACAGG